AUUGAACGCUGGCGGCAUGCCUUACACAUGCAAGUCGAACGGCAGCGCGGGAGCAAUCCUGGCGGCGAGUGGCGAACGGGUGAGUAAUACAUCGGAACGUGCCCAAUCGUGGGGGAUAACGCAGCGAAAGCUGUGCUAAUACCGCAUACGAUCUACGGAUGAAAGCAGGGGAGCGCAAGACCUUGCGCGAAUGGAGCGGCCGAUGGCAGAUUAGGUAGUUGGUGAGGUAAAGGCUCACCAAGCCUUCGAUCUGUAGCUGGUCUGAGAGGACGACCAGCCACACUGGGACUGAGACACGGCCCAGACUCCUACGGGAGGCAGCAGUGGGGAAUUUUGGACAAUGGGCGAAAGCCUGAUCCAGCCAUGCCGCGUGCAGGAUGAAGGCCUUCGGGUUGUAAACUGCUUUUGUACGGAACGAAACGGUCUUUUCUAAUAAAGAAGGCUAAUGACGGUACCGUAAGAAUAAGCACCGGCUAACUACGUG
rnacentral:rRNA from 1 species